rnacentral:rRNA from 1 species
GAUGAACGCUGGCGGCGUGCCUAAUACAUGCAAGUCGAGCGAACAGACGAGGAGCUUGCUCCUCUGACGUUAGCGGCGGACGGGUGAGUAACACGUGGAUAACCUACCUAUAAGACUGGGAUAACUUCGGGAAACCGGAGCUAAUACCGGAUAAUAUAUUUAACCGCAUGGUUCAAUAGUGAAAGACGGUUUUGCUGUCACUUAUAGAUGGAUCCGCGCCGCAUUAGCUAGUUGGUAAGGUAACGGCUUACCAAGGCAACGAUGCGUAGCCGUCCUGAGAGGGUGAUCGGCCACACUGGAACUGAGACACGGUCCAGACUCCUACGGGAGGCAGCAGUAGGGAAUCUUCCGCAAUGGGCGAAAGCUUGACGGAGCAACGCCGCGUGAGUGAUGAAGGUCUUCGGAUCGUAAAACUCUGUUAUUAGGGAAGAACAAAUGUGUAAGUAACUAUGCACGUCUUGACGGUACCUAAUCAGAAAGCCACGGCUAACUACGUG